CGGGUGAGUAAUACAUCGGAACGUGUCCAGUAGCGGGGGAUAACCUCUCGAAAGAGAGGCUAAUACCGCAUACGUCCUACGGGAGAAAGAGGGGGAUCGCAAGACCUCUCACUAUUGGAGCGGCCGAUGUCGGAUUAGCUAGUUGGUGAGGUAAAAGCUCACCAAGGCGACGAUCCGUAGCUGGUCUGAGAGGACGGCCAGCCACACUGGAACUGAGACACGGUCCAG
rnacentral:rRNA from 1 species